GAGUUUGAUCCUGGCUCAGAUUGAACGCUGGCGGCAUGCCUUACACAUGCAAGUCGAACGGCAGCACGGGAGCUUGCUCCUGGUGGCGAGUGGCGAACGGGUGAGUAAUGCAUCGGAACGUAUCCUGGAGUGGGGGAUAACGUAGCGAAAGUUACGCUAAUACCGCAUAUUCUGUGAGCGGGAAAGCGGGGGACCUUCGGGCCUCGCGCUCUUGGAGCGGCCGAUGUCGGAUUAGCUAGUUGGUGAGGUAAAGGCUCACCAAGGCGACGAUCCGUAGCAGGUCUGAGAGGAUGAUCUGCCACACUGGAACUGAGACACGGUCCAGACUCCUACGGGAGGCAGCAGUGGGGAAUUUUGGACAAUGGGGGCAACCCUGAUCCAGCCAUGCCGCGUGAGUGAAGAAGGCCUCGG
rnacentral:rRNA from 1 species